GUGAAUCAUCGAAUUUUUGAACGCAUAUUGCACUCUCUGGUAUUCCGGAGAGUAUGCCUGUUUGAGGGUAAUUAAAAAGAAUAUUUAAUAAAUUUUUUUGGUUAAAGGAUAUGAGUUAUAUGUGUUUAUAGCGGUAGCUUGAAAUAAAUGGUCAAGUGUUAUUUUAGUCGAGACGCGUAAUAAUAUUAUUUCGAGAAAUCUUAAUUAUGUGACUAUCAAGUUUUGAUGCAUACAAAUUUGGUUUGUUUGUGAUUAAUAUAAAUAUUUUUGAACACUACUUUAAAGAAGG
rnacentral:misc_RNA from 1 species